CAAGAAUAAACCAAAAAUAAUCUGAAGAAAUUUCAUUCCUUCUGAGAGAGGCAAAUAGGAUGUAGAAACCCUGCCCAGCUGACUCAAAAUGAAAAGUCCAGAAGCAGUUGCCAAAACAUCUACCUCAAAGGGCACAUUUAAAUUGAAUGAGGAAUCCCAUCCCUACGUAAGGACCAAUGCUUUGGGACUGAAACACCAAUGAAAUGACAAAGCCUUUUGUUUUUCUAUUUUCACAGAGGGUUUUGAGUCAAAGGAUUUUUUCAACUAUUAGUUGUUCCAUGGGUACUAUUGAUCAAUGGAGUGGGAGACCAGCCAAAAGAACCUUCGAAGGGCAGAUGAAAAUUCAUCCUCCCCAACAGUUUUGGCAAGCCAGCCAGAGAUAUUCCUGGCUUGGCACUGUUCACCCCAAAGCUGCUACAGUAGAAAGAUCCUGGGACCUCUGACAAGCGCCAGCAAAAGAAAUUCCUCUUAUUGUUCACAUCUGAUUGUUUUCCUGAUUGCUUGCACCAUAGGCCUAACUUUGGAAGCCCACCUGUAUCACCACCUCCUGAAAUGAGACACAACUGUUUAACUGGACUGAUCUAUUCUCAGGACUAAGAGAUUGGUUUGGUGAGAUGGAGCAGUCUACCAACUAAAAUUCUGGACUGUGAAACUUCUUUGAGAAGUUUCAAAGGCAGGACUGAAGAAGCUCAAAAUGAGCCUUCCCAAAAUAAGACACUUUUGCAUGUGCAUUAUUUUGAGCUAGGGGCACUGGAGACUGUGUGAGUUCAAGAGAAAACUUUGCCCCUCCCUUAACUACCUAGAAGAAUUUAAAUUGGGGGUCUUUCCCAGAAUAAGAAUUAUUACCAGAGAUAAGUUUUAUCUGAGUGAUCCAUCUGUAUGACAGGGAAAACAUCUAAUUACCAAACAUCUGCUCUUCUUCUUAUCAUUUUGUGAACUUCCCUCCUCCUCUUUGAAGCCCCAGGCCCCUAUACUUUUCCUUAGCUCAAGAUGGCAUUUAUAUCUCAUUUUACCUUUCUCUCUUGGAACCUCUUAUGUAUAUGAGGAUCCUGUACAUAUUAAAUUAAACUUGUUUUUCUCCUGUUAAUCUGUAUCAUGUCAAUUUGCUUAUUAGAUCAACCAACAGAUCCUUUGAAAGAGAGAGGAAAAUUCUUCCUCUCAAACAAUAGAAAUAAAUACAAAUGUUAAUUUAGAACUAGAAAUGGCACUUUAAAAAAAUGGUAUGUUCUAGAUGUAUUUAUCUAAAAU
rnacentral:lncRNA from 1 species